GCAGCCGCCAACCUCUAAGCACCGGUCGCCAUUUCCCUUCCCCUUCUUCAACUUGCAGCACCGCCACCACCCUCCUUCUCCAUUCUCCGAUACUGCCACUUCGUAGCUGCCAUGUACAUUGCUGCUGAGAGUCGCUGCAUUGCAUCCGCCGCUCUAUCGCCAUGCCGGUCAACGACGAAGCCAGGAGCUACCAUGUUGAAGACCGCCAUGCUGCUCCGGUGUGGUUGAAGACUAGGACCAUCUACUGACGUCGUGGUCGCUGUUGUGUUGGGCACAUCAUCUCCUUGCCGCAGACAACGUUCUCCCAUCUUUGUUUCAUUUAGGCCGCUGCUAGCGGUCGCUGCCGCCACCAAGCAAUCUUCCAACUGCUCCGGUCGUCAUCCAUCACCGCCUGCCAUUGCAAGGGAUUGGGUGCGUUCGGGUUGUUGUUUCAGCAUCGACUGAAGGUUGGUUUGUCUCUUCUGAUGGGUGCAAUCCAUGAAGAACCACCAUGGCAGCCGGCCAUGGUGGUUGUCCCCGUCAACUAUGCUGCUGCCAGACCUCCAUGGACCACCAAGGGGGUGGCUGGAGUUGCUUUCAAAAUUAUAGCGUGGAUCGGGAAUCUGGUAUCCAGCAGCUAUGGUUUUAUCAGCAGGACUCCAACAUGUGAGGUACUUAGUUUUCAAAAUAGGAACUCGGGAAGAUUGCAGUGCACACACCAUUUGUUCAGCCUUGGAUGUUUAUACUCUGAUAUACUUGAUAGUUGUGAUAAUAUUUUGAGAUACAUUGUUUAUGAUUUUUAUAUGAGGCUUAUUGACUAUAGUUUUUAUUAUUAAAUUAAACAAAAUUUUCAGACUGUGUUUUUGGGAUGUUACAAACUCUACUCUCAAAAAGUUCACAAAGAUGACAUACCCAGAUGUUGAAUCCAUUUCUUCUUCAAACAAUCGACUUAUCACCGAGGAGCUAGAUUACGACAUUCCCGUUAUAAAGAAUGAUUGUGAUCGUAUGUUUCUUGUAUUAACAAAUGAGCAAAGUAACAUUUUCAUUAACAUCAUGAGUGUUGUUAAAGAAAAUAAAGGAGGUGUCUUCUUCGUUAAUGGUUAUGGUUGAACGGGUAAAACUUUUUUUUUAUGGAAGACAAUAUCUGCAGCAAUUAGAUCUGAUAGUAAUAUUGUUUUAAAUGUUGCUUCAAGCGCUAUUGCUUCAUUAUUAUUGUCCGGUGGUAGAACAACACACUCUCGAUUUAUACUUCCAUUUGAACUUACAGAGGAUUCUUUUUGUAAAAUAAAUCCAGAUGGUAAGUUGGCUAGCUUAAUAAGAAAAACCUCUUUAAUAAUUUGGGAUGAAGCACCUAUGGUCCAUAAGCAUGCAUUUGAAGCUUUAGAUCAAACUUUGAAAGAUGUAUUAAGGUGUGGAAAUUCAAGCAUCUCAAAUAUUCCUUUUGGAGGUAAAGUUAUUGUCUUUGGAGGAGAUUUCAGAUAGAUUCUACUUGUUGUACCGGGUGGCAGUAGACAGAACAUUGUUAAUGCUUCUUUGAGUUCUUCAUAUUUAUGGCAACAUUGCAAAGUCCAUAGAUUAACAAAAAAAAACAUAAGGCUAACUGUUGGAAGGGAUCAAUCUGAUACAGAAAAAAUAAGAGAUUUUGCAAAUUGGCUACUGGAUAUAGGAGAAGGCAAACUCGGUGGUCCGAACGAAAGUGAAAUGAUUAUCGAUAUUCUGUAUGAUAUUCUCAUUAAUGAUCCAAGUGAUCCUAUAGGUUCGUUAAUUGAGUUUGUAUAUCCUUCAAUUUUGUAGAAGUAUAACAGUACAAAUUAUUUCCAUGAAAGAGCGAUACUUGCUCCAAAGAAUGAAGUUG